rnacentral:tRNA from 1 species
UGGGCCAUCGCCAAGCGGUAAGGCACAGGACUUUGACUCCUGCAUUUCACCAGUUCGAAUCUGGUUGGCCCAG